UUGAACCUCCUUCGACAGUUCGACCCCCAGAUUUGGAUAUCUUGUUAGUUGUUUGUACCACGUCGUGUUAUCGUGUUAAACCCCCAUGGCAAUUCUUGAUUUGAUCAAGUAGCAAAUUGGAGGAGUGUGAUCUGGUGCUGUCCUUGGCUUUCCUACACUCUUCAAUUACAUCCGACAACUUGCCUUUUAUAAUUUUCUCGUCUGAUUUAAAAUGAUUCAAAUGCAUCUACAAUUGCCUUUGAUUGUACAUAAAUUAAAAGAGUGCACUUUCUGACAGCAAUGAAUCUCAUGCUCAAAGCCUAAGAUCAAAGGUAAAAUGGCCAAAAUGAUGAGGCAGUUCCCCUGGGGGCGUAGCAUGAUCCUACUCCUUCUACUCUGGCUCAUUUUCCUAGUUAUCGCCCUCGGUUUCUUAAGGCACGAACCCGACCAGCAGACCAACAUGAGGAUAUCGCAGGCACUGCGCGAUCUCCAGUCCCUCCACCGCCAGAGGGAGGAAAUCAGCAAGCUGCUCACCGACUACAACUCGGGAAAUCUUCCUCUGAGACAGGAUGAAAAAGAAUCCAUUUUGAAAAAUAUUCAAGACAAAACUAUGCUAUCUGAAAAUCAGCAGGGUUUUGACCUAAACGAUUUUGUCAGGGGACGAAGAGAUAAAAAACCAUCCCUCGAAUAUGAAAAACUCAGGAGACGUCUACAGAUGGGAGUAGAAGAGAUGUGGUAUUUUAUAAGCAGCCAGGUGAAGCAGAUUCAAAAGUCAAAGUCUUCCCCUCAGCUUGCGACUCAUUUGAAUAAGAUACUCGAAGAAGGAGUUGAGCACAAGAGGUCUCUUUUAAAAGAUGUGUCUCGCCUGGGUGAAUUGGAUGGGUUCGCGGGCUGGAGGUUGAAAGAGGCUUUCGAACUUUCAGACCUCGUACAAAGGAGGAUUUCCUACUUGCAAAACCCAACUGAUUGUGAUAGUGCCAAAAAGCUGAUCUGCAAGCUGAACAAGGGUUGUGGUUAUGGGUGUCAGCUUCAUCAUGCUGUAUAUUGCUUAUUGGUAGCAUUUGGUACAGAAAGGACUUUAAUACUCCAAUCAAGAGGAUGGCGCUAUAAUAAAAAUGGUUGGGAACAAGUAUUCCAACCUGUCAGUGAUACAUGCAGAGAAGUUAAAUCCCCCAUUACUCCUUGGCCAGGGACUCCUAAUUCCCCAGCCGUCCUUUUAGGCAUAAUAGAUUCUGUUUCACCAAGGCCUCCUUAUUUGCCACUUGCCGUACCAAAAGAUCUCGCUGAACGCAUUGAACGACUCCAUGGCGACCCUUCUGUAUGGUGGGUCGGCCAGUUUCUCAAGUACCUUUUACGACCACAGCCCGCGACGACUGAUAUGCUUCAAAAAGCAGCGGUCAAUUUUAAGUUCCAGCAUCCCAUCGUUGGAGUACACAUAAGAAGGACAGAUAAAGUUGGGACAGAAGCAGCCUUUCAUCAUGUCGAAGAAUAUAUGUCGCACGUAGAGGAAUAUUUCAAAAUCCUUUCCUUAUCGCAACCUGUACCCAUUAAACGUGUCUACUUGGCAUCUGAUGAUGUCAAUGUUUUUGCAGAAAUAAAGAAAAAGUAUCCUGAUUAUGAAGUUAUUGGUGAUCCGAAAAUUGCAAAAACAGCAGCAGUCUCGACUAGAUACUCGGACAAUUCAUUAAAUGGAAUCAUUAUGGAUAUAUACUUCUUGUCUCAGUCUGAUUAUCUCGUUUGUACAUUUUCUUCUCAGGUCUGUCGAGUUGCUUAUGAAAUAAUGCAGUCGCUGCAUCCUGAUGCUGCAUCAAGAUUCAGAUCUUUAGAUGACAUAUAUUACUACGGCGGGCAAGGCAUACACAGACAAGUUGCAGUUAUGAGUCAUAGGGCCAACUCGCCCGAUCAGAUGGACCUUGAGGUCGGUGAUAUUGUCGGGGUCGCGGGCAACCACUGGGACGGUUACUCAAAAGGAAGGAAUUUGAGGACGAAUCAAGAUGCACUCUAUCCAUCUUUCAAGGUUGAAAAUGUCGUCGAGGCUAUCGAAUUUCCAACAUAUACAGAAGUUCCUUUGAAGGUUGUCCCUGAACAGAAUGACAAUUGAAUUCAGGGCACAGACUUAUAAAAUACUCACUUGUGUAAUACUGUUGGGGAAUUUAGGAAUUUCUCUACCAUCAAAUUGUUUCUGAUGUUAAUAAAAAACAAGUUGUUAAUAUCAAAAUAAUUAGUUAAUAAGGGCAUUUAUUAGAUUUGCUGAAAAAACUGCAAUAGAGUUCUUUCGUUUUGACAUUCAGGGGGAUAUUGAGACUGAGUUUUUCUUUUAUAUUUUACAACCAAAACGGUUUUCAAUUGUACCUUCGAUUCGACUUAUUGUCGUCAAAUUGCGUAAAAAAAAUAUCAAAACCAUACUUGGUAGUCAAUUUAUUUUCUGAAAAAUUGUGUUCACUAGGACCCAACGUUUAAGCUUUUUCACUUAUGUUAUUCACAAUUCUAUUUUGUGUGUGUGAUUAUCCUUUUUUUUAUCUAUAACGACAACAUGAAGAGACAUGGGCAUCACAACCCUCUUCUUUUUUUUCUUUUAGUGCACAUGUGUUAUAUUUUCUUUCUGUGUAUGUUUAUUAUCAUUAAUGUAUUUUCACAUUCCUGGAGGAAAAAAAUUGCAAAAGGAGAAAUGAUAUUUAAUAUUUUACUGAUUUUCUUCCAUUAUAUAUUUUUUUAUGUACUUUUCUUGAUUAUAAACUGAGAUUUUUCUAUAGAUUUAUCUACUUAUAGCUGAGAUAUUUGUAAUUUGAUUUUUUUGAGAUUCAUAUGUGAUCAUCAAACAGGAUUUUGACUUAAAUUAAUAAUGUGUUACGUUGACGCACAAAUCUAAUCUUUUUUAUAAAAUCUGGCUUUAUGAUUUUUGAAUCCUUGUUUCAGUUAACCAUUUAAUAUGUUUUUACUCAAAAUAAAUUUGGUUUUGUAAUAUGAA
rnacentral:misc_RNA from 1 species